AAACGACAGAAUGCUUUUUCUGAAACCUUAACUGUGGUACCUGUUAUGGCAGCUAACAGACACUCGGCGCAUGGCUCCUUUGUUUACGUUAGGGAUCAGCUGUUAGCGCUGCGCCCUGCAGCUGCGCUACCGGCAGACAGACCCUACGUCCCCAGUGAGGGAAGAGACGGGGGUGAUGUCUCCCGAGAAGGACACCUUACACACCAUCUCUCCUUCCUGUAAUCACUGUAAACGUGAGAUCGCUCCCUGAUAUGAUUGAGGAGCUAAUGACGCUAACCCGGUCACAGUGGCAGUACCCCGACACUGCCCGGUACUCCCUCUGUGAGUAGGCUGCCCGGCUUCCAGCUGCUGC